GAUGAACGCUGGCGGCGUGCCUAAUACGUGCAAGUCGAGCGAAUGGAUUAAGAGCUUGCUCUUAUGAAGUUAGCGGCGGACGGGUGAGUAACACGUGGGUAACCUGCCCAUAAGACUGGGAUAACUCCGGGAAACCGGGGCUAAUACCGGAUAACAUUUUGAACCGCAUGGUUCGAAAUUGAAAGGCGGCUUCGGCUGUCACUUAUGGAUGGACCCGCGUCGCAUUAGCUAGUUGGUGAGGUAACGGCUCACCAAGGCAACGAUGCGUAGCCGCCCUGGGAGGGGGAUCGGCCACACUGGGACUGGAACACGGCCCAGACUCCUACGGGAGGCAGCAGUAGGGAAUCUUCCGCAAUGGACGAAAGUCUGACGGAGCAACGCCGCGGGAGUGAGGAAGGCUUUCGGGUCGUAAAACUCUGUGGUUAGGGAAGAACAAGUGCUAGUUGAAUAAGCUGGCACCUUGACGGUACCUAACCAGAAAGCCACGGCUAGCUACGUGCCAGCAGCCGCCGUAA
rnacentral:rRNA from 1 species